AACAGGAUUAGAUACCCUGGUAGUCCACGCCCUAAACGAUGUCUACUAGUUGUCGGGUCUUAAUUGACUUGGCAACGCAGCUAACGCGUGAAGUAGACCGCCUGGGGAGUACGGUCGCAGGAUUAAAACUCAAAGGAAUUGACGGGGACCCGCACAAGCGGUGGAUGAUGUGGAUUAAUUCGAUGCAACGCGAAAAACCUUACCUACCCUUGACAUGUGCGGAAUCCUGAAGAGAUUUAGGGGUGCUCGAAAGAGAACCGUAACACAGGUGCUGCAUGGCUGUCGUCAGCUCGUGUCGUGAGAUGUUGGGUUAAGUCCCGCAACGAGCGCAACCCUUGUCAUUAGUUGCUACGAAAGGGCACUCUAAUGAGACUGCCGGUGACAAACCGGAGGAAGGUGGGGAUGACGUCAAGUCCUCAUGGCCCUUAUGGGUAGGGCUUCACACGUCAUACAAUGGUACAUACAGAGGGCCGCCAACCCGCGAGGGGGAGCUAAUCCCAGAAAGUGUAUCGUAGUCCGGAUUGUAGUCUGCAACUCGACUACAUGAAGUUGGAACCGCCAGUAAUCGCGGAUCAGCAUGUCGCGGUGAAUACGUUCCCGGGUCUUGUACACACCGCCCGUCACACCAUGGGAGCGGGUUCUGCCAGAAGUAGUUAGCCUAACCGUAAGGAGGGCGAUUACCACGGCAGGGUUCGUGACUGGGGUGAAGUCGUAACAAGGUAACC
rnacentral:rRNA from 1 species